rnacentral:rRNA from 1 species
UACGUAGGGUGCGAGUGUUGUCCGGAAUUAUUGGGCGUAAAGAGCUCGUAGGCGGUUUGUCGCGUCGACUGUGAAAACCCGAGGCUUAACCUCGGGCCUGCAGUCGAUACGGGCAGACUAGAGUUCGGUAGGGGAGACUGGAAUUCCUGGUGUAGCGGUGAAAUGCGCAGAUAUCAGGAGGAACACCGGUGGCGAAGGCGGGUCUCUGGGCCGAUACUGACGCUGAGGAGCGAAAGCGUGGGGAGCGAACAGG